GAUGAACGCUGGCGGCGUGCCUAACACAUGCAAGUCGAACGAAGCUUGACGGAUGAUUUCUUCGGAAUGAAACCAGAUAUGACUUAGUGGCGGACGGGUGAGUAACACGUGAGCAACCUGCCUUUCAGAGGGGGAUAACGGCUGGAAACGGUCGCUAAUACCGCAUGAUGUGUUCGGAUGGCAUCAUCUGAACAUCAAAGAUUUAUCGCUGAAAGAUGGGCUCGCGUCUGAUUAGAUAGUUGGUGGGGUAACGGCCUACCAAGUCUACGAUCAGUAGCCGGACUGAGAGGUUGAACGGCCACAUUGGGACUGAGAUACGGCCCAGACUCCUACGGGAGGCAGCAGUGGGGAAUAUUGCACAAUGGGGGAAACCCUGAUGCAGCAACGCCGCGUGAAGGAUGACGGUUUUCGGAUUGUAAACUUCUUUUCUUAGUGACGAAGACAGUGACGGUAGCUAAGGAAUAAGCAUCGGCUAACUACG
rnacentral:rRNA from 1 species